GCGCGAAGGAAGAGAGAGAAGAAGAGAUGCAGAGUUGAGACGCGCAGCGUCACUUAGAAAAAUGGAAGGCGGUGGCUCUGUCAACUCACCACCCACCUCCCCAAGGGGACGACAGCUCCUGGCUACGUGAUCAGACCACUGCCCAAUCCGGGCCCAGAGGAACUCAGCUAGUUUACAGUGCAAAUCACAUGGAAGGCCUGUCUGUCUGUUCAUCACUGGGAUCCACAGGACUCAGUCCAGAGUCCAGCAAAAAACAAACGUCUGUUCCAUGAACAAAGUUCAGAAACUACAGGGAGGCCCUUUGCACUGGUUAUCAAUGAAGCAGAAUUAUCCUCCCUGCUCAAAAAAGGAGGGAGAGGGUCCCUCUUCUUCUGAGACGAUGCGCUGAAAGCUGCGUGAGCCCGGCAACCGGCGGUCAUCUCUGCCACCAAGUCUGCUGGGGAACAAUGUCAACUUAGUGGAAAGCGGCACCAAGAGACGUGCCUGCUGGGGGACGUCACUGGAGACUCUGGACCCAGCCAUUGCUAAAGCCCCCACCCCAAGGCAGCUCACAGGGCAGGACUCCGAGGCUCAGAGAGGCGAUGAGAACCCUCCAAGGGCAGGCCUCCAGGAGAAGCAGAGGCCGGAAUCAGAGCCCAGGGCCUUCCACCGCACAAGCAGAAUCCAGUCCCUGGUGGCGAGUGUGAGCCCCUCCCCACAUGGACACGAGCAAGUCUGGACAGGCCUGCCAGCUGACGGCCUAGGAAGACAGGAGGCGAUUCCACGAGGAACUGAGACGCCUGGGAGGGAGCUCACCCCAAGCCAGGAAGAGUCAGCCCCACAUCCAGCCCUGCCGCGGGGCAGCGAUGAGGACGCAUACAGAGAAGGGUGCUCCCAGGGCUGCAUUGACCCCGGGACUCCUGACCCCUGGGGACUCUCGUCCAGAGCCUGUUCCAGCACAAACUCCAUAGGACAAUGGGACAAGAGCAAGCCUUUGAGCACGCCGUGAGAAAGCAAAGCCCCCUCCCCACAGGGCGCCCUAGAGGAACCCCGCGAUGGGAGACGGUGCCCAGCAGGAGACAGCGGGCAGUGCCAGACUCACUUAUGAGUCAAGUCUCUGGGGGAUGCCCAGAAGUCCUGCAGGAGAAUGUGGUGGCAGGCUGAAGCCUUGUGAGAGCAGAACCUCACAGCCUGCAAGAGCUGCACAACCACCCCAUGAAGGAAGUACUGUUCUGCCUACAACUGUACAGAUGAGGAAACCCAGGGGCACGUGGCCAAUAAAUGACAGAGCCAUGCACACCCCCAGGGCGGGCCCGACUUUGAACCCUCUGCCCCACUGGCCACACGCCCAGCCUCAAUGACAGCUGGCCAGCCCACUUCUCCCACGCUCUGUCCACACCUCUCCUAUGGCACUGAUACGCCAGGCCUGCGCAUAGUAGGUGCCCAAGAAACAUCUGCUGGAAAACACGUCUGAGAUCUUUCCACUGCUUCUCCAGUGACACGGGAUGGAAAGACUACCCAGAAAGAAGAAACGUGGCAAGGGCAGUCAGCUACACAUGCAGAUGGAACCCAGGCACUGUCUUCCUUCACCAGCCCAACGAACAUAACUGUGAAAAAGACAGAAAAGGCCGAGACACCCCACAACAGAGAGCAGAAGUGCCAACAGAGGCAGGCAAAGAGAUCAGCAAGGCUAUGUUUGCAGGGGGGAGGGGACAGCCACUGAGAAACGCCUCAGCAGGGGACAGUGGGGAACUUGAUGAUGGCUGUCUCGGAGACCAGAGAGGCCAGCCCAGUGGGCCCCGGCACCUUUGAGACACAGGCUGGGGGUGCAAAGUAAGAGCUAAACCUCCAGACCCCCUUCCAAUCUCAAAGGAAGGUAAGAUUUGCUCUCUGGAGCGGUAAAAAGACAGACUCUGCCACACACACCACAGACCAGAGGGCCACCCCGAGGACGGAGGACCCGGCCCAAUUCCACAUAAUGACCAGUGUGGAGCACCCAGCCCUCUUCCCCUAGUAGGCUGCUGGGCCUCUGGAGUGGACAGGCUGGUGUCUCUUGCAAGCCCCUCAUCUCUGUAUCCAGCUCAUCCUUCUUGGACUGUGCAUGUCGGCCUCCAGUCUUCACUUCACCCAAUCCCAGCUCCUGACUUUGUCACCUUUCUCUCAGCUAAUUUCCCACAAAUUCAAUAGGGCCUCGGCCCAGGUAGGGUCUUAAAAACAGACUCACUGAAAUCCAAUUAACCUUCGAUAAAGGCCCUGCAAUCAAUAGUCAUCCUGUGGCUUGAGGAGGCUGCAUCCAGCCCGGGCAAGCGCGCUCCUGCAUGACCUUUAUUCUUAAUGAAAUCAAUGACAGUCACUGUCACCAGCUCUUAAAGUGACUGGCAAAUAUGAUCACCAGGUCAGGCCCUCAGUAAUAUGCCGCUUCUGGGCUCAGAGCAGAGACAAAGAGGGCCCCUGCAGGCUGCGGGUACCGGAGCCCACAUGCCGGCCAGAGAGCACACCCGGGCAGGGCCGCCACGUGCCUGGAAGCACACAACAGCAGUGGUGCGGCCUGAGGGCCCACCUGGGGCAGCCAGGGACCCCCCUGGCCCUGUGGCAGGGGGCUCCUGAACUCCAGUGAGUGUCUGAACCACCUGGAGAGUCUGUUAAAAUGCUGAUUUCUCGCAAGCCCGCCCCCCAGACUCUGAUAGGUCAGUUUGGGAUGGGGCCCAGGAAACUGCAUUCAGGUCUUAUCUCCCAGCAAGCCAAGAGUGGCUCUUCUGUAAACACCUGAGCAGAACAGACCCUUAAGAGUCCAGCUAACCCAACACCUCCAGUAAGCAUACUGAGGCCCAGAGAAGGAAGUAAUUUGUCCAAGGUGACACAGCGGGCCACCAGCAGAGACGGAGCCUGAACCCAGGUCUCUGGCCUGCUAACAUGGUGUUUUCUUCACUGAGUCUAUCAGGAACUGGCCACUUAGACUGGUCUUCAGGUCCUCACAUAUGAGGCCCAACUGGGCUGGGGUGCGGCGGGGUGAGGGGGGGCCUCUUCAAGUAGAGUGGGGACGAUUAACAAGUGCUGGAGGGGUCUGCAGCUCUCCCCACCUCCCUUCAAGAGCAGUUACCCCCAGAGCCACUUCCUGCUGAGCCAACAGCUUGGAGCAGCCAAGAUGCCACUAACCACCCUUCCCUGCAGGAUCGCGGCGAGCUCUGCCUCUGGUCACUCCCCCCUGUCCCCUGCACCUCCCUCCCCAAGCGACACUCAGCAAGGCAGUCCUCAGCAGGGACAGUCACGCCAGGGACAGGCCCACUCAGGUCCACAGUCCUAGGGAGGCUUCGGAACCUCAGAUGUUUGUUAGAAAAUUCCAGUCACAUGGAGUCUUUCAUGCUACUCACAAAUACACACACACACACACACACACACACACUCCACUAGUCUUCCAUGAGGCCUGCGGCUUUGAUGUUGAUUGGGAAUUAGGAAAUUAACCUAAUAACAGGUUAAUUUCUGCACAGCAAGGCCUGUUCCUAUUCUACUCCCAGCAUCACCGAUGGUCAGCAGGGCACAUGGUCCACUGCCCAAACCCCAGCCUAAGGUUCCAGUGCAAGGAUUGAAUGACAUCAUCUCGGAACACGACCAAAGAGCCUCCCAGGUCAUGUAAACCAUAGAAGCCAGGGGCAGGGGCUUAAGGGGAGAAGGAAUUAAGACAGUAUGGUAUUAUCAGAAGGACAGACCUACAGACCAAGAGAAGAGAACAGAGCCUCCAGAAAAGACCCACAGCGACUUGAUGACAAAGAUGCCAGGUCUAAACUGCUACGCGGUAUGAUGCCAUGAGCAUGAAGUUCAGGAGGUCAGUGAGGGAGAAGGUGCUGCCCGGUGACAGAAGUCAGAACAGCGGUGGCUCUGGGGGCAGUAAGAAGUGUGUGGACUCUGAGGGGGAGUGAGGGGCCUAGCAGGGGGCUAGAAAUGGCUUAUGUCUUUGCGCAGCUGGUGAGUACAUGAAAUGUCCAUAUGACAAUACAUGGAGGUGUUCCACAAAGAUCUGAGACCUCAUGUAAAUUACCUUCCCUCCCUGAGUCUCUGAUUCUUCAUCCCUAGAAUGGAGACAAGACCUCCUUCCCUCCUAAGAUUGUGACACAGAAUGAGCCUGGCACCCAGAGUCAGGCAGUGGGUAAACAUCAAUGGUCAAAGGAGGUAAAAGAGAGAAAGGGCAAGCCACAGGGAUGAUGUAACAAUGAAAACAGCAACAACCAUCAACUAGAUACCAAUCUGGAGCUUUAGCCAUGCACUAGGAGGGUGAACCUAGUGCUCUAAAAAAUGGAACAAUGCUUGUAUGAACUUGAUGUGAGCUAGAGAGAGGAGGGCUGCAUUCGGAUGGUGCCCUGGGAGCAGGCAAAGUUUCCAUCAAUGUUCCAACUCCUUCUUCGAGGAGUUAUUGGUGUGGCUGGCAGCCAGCUGGACUCAAUUUCCCCUGCAGCCCCCCAGCAGAGAUGCCUGGGAGGGGGAUGGAGAAGGUGGAGGAGAAAGGACUCAGAACUAACGCUAACCUGGAUUCGGCUCUUGACUGUCCCUGCUAGCUCUGUGAUGUUGGGCAAGCUAUUUAACCUCUCUGAGCUUCAGCUUCUCAUCUAGAAAUGGGAUUAAUGAGAUAUCCUUAACGGGGCAUCUGUAAGGAGUAUAUGGCAUCUUUAAGGAUUAUAUGUUGUCACAUGUUUGGUACAUAUUAGUUGCUAAUAAAAAGCAGAGACAUUACAUUUCAACAAAGGUCCGUCUAGUCAAGGUUAUGGUUUUCCCAGC